GACAACUCCAUGCACGCAGGAAUAAGUUAUCCCAGCUAACGAGCAUGAUAAAGCAUAUUGAGCAGUUAAUGGAAGAUGAUGCAAACGCUGAUAUUGUUAAAAAUAAAUUGCGUGUGGACUUCAGUGGUUUGCAGCAAGAAUUUUCCGACUUAAAUGCUGGUUUGAGAAGAUUUAUGUCUGAAGAAGAAUUCCUGGAUAAUCAAAAGAAUUGGUUUGAUCUUAAAAAUAAGCCAAUAAAUGAUUUCUUCUGGAAAUGUGAGGAAUGGAUGAAAGAUGUCAUGAAACGCUCUGAGCAGGCUGAAGAGUGUGAUAAACACGUAAUGCCAACAGAUAGUAGGUCUACAUCCUCAAAAAGCAACACGAAACGCUCAAGCAGACCUGGAUCACGAUGUGGAAGUGUGUCAUCAUCAUCUUCAGUCAGAAUAAAGGCAGAAAUGGAGCGUGCUUCAUUAAAGGCAAAGGCUGCAGCUUUAAGAGAGAAGCUAGCCAUAGAAAAAGAAGAAGCAGAUUGGCAUGCAGAAAAAAGAUGCAGGGAAGCUCAGCUGCAAGCAGAAGAAAAACGGCGAGAGGCGGAGUUUGAGGCUGAGCAAAAACGAAUAGAGGCUGCGAUAAAGGCUAGAAAGGAGAUGCAUGCAAUGCAGACCGCUCUUGCUGAGUCAGAUGCAAAAAUGGAAGUUUUGCAAAAAUAUGAAUGCACACAAGCAGCCGAGAGCAGUAUAGAAGCUAAUGAACAGAUCUCUGAAACAAAGGUGAACACCAUCUACCAACCACCAACACAGCACACCCCGCCUACGUCCAAACUUGAAAACAAGGUUCAUCUUGCAAGGCUGCAAAGAACCCGGCCUGCAUCGAACAUGGACCUCAAUGAUGGACCAGUGCUUAAUAAUUUAUGCAAGGCUAUCUCUCAGCAAGUUGACGUCACUGAGUACCUUGUGAAGAAUCACAAAGCCACAUUACUNCUCACCAUUCCAACGUUCAAGGGCGAUCCGCUUGAGUAUAAAUCCUUUAUCAGGUCUAUUGAACACGGAGUUGAAGAUCGCACUGGUGACAGUCGUGAUCGCUUACAGUUUUUGUUGCAGUACACAAGUGGACAACCACAUGAGUUGGUAAAAAGCUGCAUUCACAUGGAAUCCUCAGCAGGUUAUGCUAAAGCAAAAGAAAUGCUGAAGGAGUUUUAUGGUGACGACUACAAGAUUGCAGAAGCCUACAUAAAGGAGGCUUUGGAUUGGCAGACAAUCAAAUCAGAAGAUGGCGCUGCACUGCAGUCUUUCGCAUUGUUUCUCACAGGCUGUUGCAACACAAUGACUGAUAUAAGCUACAUGGAAGACUUGGACAACACAGCUAACAUAAAGGCACUAGCUAACAAGUUGCCAUACAAACUCAAGGAAGCUUGGAGAAAGUCUGCGUGCGACCAACAAGAAAAAACAAAAAAAAGGGUGAAAUUCAAGGAUUUUGUCGAAUUUGUCAACAAGCAAGUUAGAUAUUUACUUCACCCACUCUAUGGGAACAUACAAGAAACCACCAGGCCAAAACAACCAGUACAACAGAAACCAAACUUAAAAUACGCAGAGAUACUCAAACCAAAGAAAGUAUUCACAGCGGCUAUUGUCUCUUCCCAAACUGAAAAUAACAAACAAACAACGCCAAAAACACAAAAUGUCUUAGUGGAUGCAAACAGCAAGCCUUGUGUUUAUUGCAAGGGAGAGCAACACAGUCUUACAGUCUGCAGAAAACUUAAGAGCAAGCCGCACAAGGAAAAGAUUGACUUCCUACGAAGCAAAGGUCUGUNN
ensembl:lncRNA